GGGCGAUUGGCGCAGUGGUAGCGCGCUUCCCUGACACGGAAGAGGUCACUGGUUCAAACCCAGUAUCGCCCACCA
rnacentral:tRNA from 10 species